GACAGAGGUGCCGAGCGUUAUGCGGAAUCACUGGGCUUAAAGCGCGUGUAGGCGGAAGCGUAAGUGCCUUGUGAAAUCCCACGGCUCAACCGUGGAACUGCUGGGCAUACUGCGUUUCUUGAGCCAAUCAGGGGUCGUCGGAACAAACGGUGGAGCGGUGAAAUGCGUAGAUAUCGUUUGGAACGCCGAAGGCGAAAGCGGGCGACUGGGAUUGCGCUGACGCUGAGACACGAAAGCCAGGGGAGCAAACGGG
rnacentral:rRNA from 1 species